UGGCUGAUGAUGAAUGUUCUCUAAGAUCUUAGCGGAUUUCAGUGAGGCUUUCUGGUCUAUGAUCUUAAAAUUGUUGUUACACACACUGAAGCCU